ACAAUCUAUCUGGACGUAUUGGACUGAUGGAGAAUGCUCUUUAUUGGCUGAUCAAUCAGGAGGAUGAUGGUGUGAGCUUGAAAGUACGAUCGAAGGUUUCGAGCUAUAAUGAGUACGUAAGCUAGUUUCUCCAAUUUUGAAUAUCGGAUCUCCGCAUCCCUUAAGAUUCGGUUAAUGUAGUAGAUCAAUUUUUGGAUUUUAUCCUGCUCUUGCAUCUGCACUAUACUCAUAGCAACAGACAAAACUGUAAGGUAUAAAUAUAGUUCUUCAUCAAGAUCGGACUUACCAAGUAGUUGAGUGGAGCUAAGAUAGUCCUUAAGGUCAGCAAA
rnacentral:lncRNA from 1 species